rnacentral:rRNA from 1 species
AGUCUGAUGGAGCAACGCCGCGUGAGUGAUGAAGGUUUUCGGAUCGUAAAACUCUGUUGUAAGGGAAGAACCAGUACGUCAGGCAAUGGACGUACCUUGACGGUACCUUAUUAGAAAGCCACGGCUAACUACGUGCCAGCAGCCGCGGUAAUACGUAGGUGGCAAGCGUUGUCCGGAAUUAUUGGGCGUAAAGCGCGCGCAGGUGGUUUCUUAAGUCUGAUGUGAAAGCCCACGGCUUAACCGUGGAGGGUCAUUGGAAACUGGGAGACUUGAGUGCAGAAGAGGAAAGUGGAAUUCCAAGUGUAGCGGUGAAAUGCGUAGAGAUUUGGAGGAACACCAGUGGCGAAGGCGACUUUCUGGUCUGCAACUGACGCUGAGGCGCGAAAGCAUGGGGAGCAAACAGGAUUAGAUACCCUGGUAGUCCAUGCCGUAAACGAUGAGUGCUAAGUGUUAGGGGGUUUCCGCCCCUUAGUGCUGCAGCUAACGCAUUAAGCACUCCGCCUGG